rnacentral:rRNA from 1 species
UCGCCUGUUUUACAAAAACAUAGCCCAAAGAUUUAUUUUGGGUAAAUUCUGCCCAGCGUAAUUUAUUAGCGGCCGCAGUACUUUGACUGUGCUAAGGUAGCAUAAUCAAUUGGCUUUUAAUUGUAGUCUGGAAUGAAAGGACUAAUAGGGGUUAGCUGUCUCUAUACUAUUAUUUUGAAUUUAUUUAUUAAGUGAAAAUACUUAUACAAAGAAAAAAGACGAGAAGACCCUUAGAAUUUUAAUAAAAUAUUUAAUAAUUUUUUUUUGUUGGGGCGACAUUGAAACAAUUAAACUUUCAUUAACAAUCAAGACAUUUAGGUUUGAAAGAAUAAAUUACCUUAGGGAUAACAGCAUAAUUAAUUAUUUAGUUUGUGACCUCGAUGUUGGACUAGGAACUAGAAGAUUAACCGUCUAAAUAGAUGUCGUCG